GGUUGAUCCUGCCAGUAGUCAUAUGCUUGUCUCAAAGAUUAAGCCAUGCAUGUCUAAGUAUAAACAUCUUUAUACAGUGAAACUGCGUACAGCUCAUUAUAUCAGUAAUUAUUUAUUUGAUGGUACCUUACUACAUGGAUAACCGUAGUAAUUCUAGAGCUAAUACAUGCGUAAAAUCUCGACUGCAAGGAAGAGAUGUAUUUAUUAGAUAAAAAAUCAAUGCCAGUGAUGGCUUUAUUGGUGACUCAUAGUAACUGAUCGAAUCGCAUGACUUUAUGUUGGCGAUAGUUCAU
rnacentral:rRNA from 1 species